rnacentral:lncRNA from 1 species
CAGGUUGAAGACUGACUAGAAAAAUAGAACGCACCAAAAGUUUAUAACACCUGCACCACAGCACAUGCAUGACACCUACAGCUUACAUUUGACAGUGGCAGUUAGGACAGUAGUUAGAUUUUUAUUGAGUUCUGACAUGAUGUUGUGAAGAUGAUGGAGGCUACAGUAUUACAUCCUUUAGACUUAAACAGCCCAGCAAACAGAAAAAGGAAAAGGAUAUGUACUUCUCCAUUCGUUUCACCUGUACCAAAAAAGAAUACUCAUGAACCUGAAGAUGUUGUACAAUUUUAUGAGAAGGGGACACAAACAGACGGCAUUUUCACAAUGUGUGUAUGUCAGGGAAGUCAGCUUCAAAGGUAAUGUAAUUUCUAUAUAUGUAAGUCAUUGUUUUUUAUGUAAUCAGACAUGGGGCCGAUUACUUUGAAAAGGAAUCGAUUAUUAAUUGAUUAACAGACCAAUUUCUAUUAAUCAUAUAAGAUUCUUUCACUGGUUAUAGGUGC